GGCGGAAGACCCGCGUGGCGCUGACCUUGAUGACCGCGGCGCGGAGGUUCUCGUCCUCCUCCACGGACCGGAUGUUUCCUCGCACCACUGUGGAGAAGACAAGACGAAAGUUGCCACCGUGAGACCAACUGUGCCCAGCCGUCCAGGUUGUGAUGAUACGCAAAAGUUGAACGGAGACGUCUGGACUCCUCUUGUUCAAGUUCCGGAUGCGGAUUCAUUUUUGUGGAAACCCUAAAAGUUGCGAUAAGUGCAACAGCGUUGGCGAUUGGUCAUCCUCUGAUCCAUGUGACCUCCCUUCCUGCUCCGCCUUCGCCUUCAUGCUGAGGACUAUUCUUCAUCUCCCCCCCACUCACCCCCCCCCCCCCCCCCCGCUCCUCCUCGCAAUCGAGUGUGGUCAGCGAAGGUCAUCCCGGGCUGUGCACAAUGUUUGAAUGGUCACUGACUGUGAGCAAAAUUGCACACCAAACGGGGCCUUUUGUUAAGAGAAACUGGGGGGGGGGGGGGGGGGGGUGAGGACGCUGGAAGGCGCCGCCAAAAUUGGGUGACUCCCUGGCUCCAUCGGUGACUAAACCCCCAAGCAACCAAGCCCCCACCUGUCCACCUUCAGGGGUAUCAGUUCACUCGUCCCUCCGGGGUGCGUUGGUGUUAGGCGACAUCAUUCUCAUGCAAGCAGGUGGAUUGGAAAUCGUUCAACAGGUGUGGAUGAAUAACACUAGAUGGGGGGGGCGGGGGGGG